rnacentral:lncRNA from 1 species
UGGAGACCUCCGCAAUGCAGUGCCUUAGAACGUUGUGCUACACCAGUAGACUGUCAAAAUUGAUCUAGGAGAAAGGGAAGUGUUAGGACAACAGGUUCAUUGGACUUCAGGUCAUCCACCUACGUGUUUAGACAAAUGUCGUCCUGACAAAAAUAAAGCCAUUCAGAUGUUGCGUUUUAUUGGUGUCGAGGUGCAACGUCUGUUGCCACUUGUGGAAACUACAGUCCACUAUCCUACUGGAGGAGGACAGGGCCUCCCAGCAUGCUGCUGUCAGUCUUGGAGCAGUGCCCAAAUCUAUUUUCUGUAUGUUGUCAAAUUGGGAAAUUCCUGUCAGAAAGAUUGGUUUUGUUUAUAUUCAUUUCCAGUGGUCCAGAAGGUCAGUGCUAACAUUUCCUCUGUUAAUCUGUCCUGAUAUGUAUGUACUGUAAUGUUUGGGAAAUUGUGAAUAUUCAGUGAGCACAACUUUAUUUGCAAUUUAAUUUUCUCUGUGUUUUCAUUAUUAUUAUUGUUGUUCUGGGCGUUCUGUUUUUUAAUCAUUUGUAGAGGAUUUUUGUUAUGAAUGUACUUUUUUUUUUAUUACUUGAUUGAUGUAGACUUGUGCGUUUUGAAAAAAACAAUCAGUUUUUAUAAUUGUAAUUCUCAGCUUAUUUUGUGUUGCAUGAUCUACAACAUGUGAAUAUGUGAACAACAUUGGACAAAGGAAGAGAAAAAAAUGAAAACCACAACACUUCCUUUCCAGAUGAGCCACAUAGGGUGGCUCCCUCCUAAAUCUUACACUGAUGAGAUAAUUCACUAGUCACUGUUGGGUGUUUGGCGUGUGAGCAAGUGUGAAGAGCUGCUACCUAGGUGACAGGAUGGAUGUUGUGCUGUGGAGAUGUGUGAUAGAACUUCUCUGUCUACCAGCUGUGCUCACAUGGUCAGUUUCACAGAGCCCCAGUAGUGUGUAUUUGAAGUUGAACUCGUCUACUGACAUCUACUGCUCAACAUCGCUGACCAACCCAUCGGGCCUAUACCUCAAAGGGCGCUUCCACAGAAACAGAGAAAUGCUGUACUUGUCGAUAGAUGAAGGAGCAGUCAAGAAGACCACUAUCAACCCUAGGUUUAAGGAUCAGGUCGCAGUGAUCUCUUUGCAGGUGAAGCAGGACUGCAGGUUGACACUGAGGCUGUCCCAACUUAAAGUGGAGGACACUGACAGUUAUUACUGUAGCUGGAGAUACUAUGAUACCAACACAAAAAAGCUAUUGGUGUUGCCGAGUAAUGGCACAAUCAUCAUAGUCAGAGAGAGAGACCCGGGUUGUGGCAUCACACAAACCAACAUAGCUGUCAUCCUUAUGUGUUUCAUUCAAUUGGUCAUCCUUGUCCUCAUCCCGUAUUUCCUCAUCAGAGCUUGUUUGCAAUGCGCACGGAACAAAAAGAAUUUUACUCGAGCCAGGGUGAGCGAAAGACAACACCAUCUCAUUCCUCGCCAUGUCUGUACGCAGCACAGGUCUACUGCUGAACCACAGUUCAUCUACUCAAACAGCUUUCCAGGCAACCUCGGCUUCAGAGGAAUGCUGUAAUAUGAAGGGAAUGGAAUUAUUCUGCAAUGCAUGUCAGUUACUUAGCAGUUACUGUCAAUUGUCACAGAUGGUAUGUUAGAAACGAACAAUUGAAUCUUGCAAUUGUAUGUCAUUUAUAUUGCAUUUGUAAAGAUGGUGGUUUUACAUUUUUCUUUGAAGGUUUUUAAGUUGACUUUAAUGUAUUUGUGAAACAGCCAGUGAAAUGUGCAUUUGUAUGACCUGUGGCACAAUCCUUCAAAUGUUUUUUCUGUGAUAGGGUAGGAUUUGCAUUAAGAGGAACUGUGACUUUCUUACCCCACACAUCACUAUAAAUGUCUUGGUGUUUCCAUUUCUUGGUGUUUUUUUUAUGUACUGAUCUUUGUCCUCUGGUAGAAUUUUCUCUACAAAACAUAGAAUGUGUUGUUUUCACUUAAUACUGGUAUUGUGCUUGACGUAAUGGAAAUGACUAGUUGUUUGUUUUUUGGUUCCCGAUUUCCGAUUCUUGUGUGAUUGAAAUGUCGGAAAGACUUGUUGUGUCUCUAAGACACAAAUUCAAAAUCUUUGCACGUACAGCCUUUUACUAAACCACAUCCUGUAGUUUGAUGUGACAUUUUUAUCCAGUCAGAUGUAUGCUGCCUAAUGUUAGCAAGUGCUGUUAUUUUACACAGCUAGCAGAUUUAACAGAUUUUAAUACAUUGUGUUUGCAAAACAUAAUCCAUAGAGAAGGGGUUGAUGAAGUAAUGCAAAUUGAAUGGACAGAGGUAAAAAAAUAAAAGAAAAAAAAGUGAGAGACCAUGGUCAGUGAGAGACAUGGUUUAAAUCUGGCUUAAUGAUGAACCUUGGUCCAACAUAUGAAUCCAGGAGUUAAUAUUAAUUGGAUCUCACCAAAUUGUGGCAUAAUAUAUAUAUAUAUAGACCUAUGUGUAUUAAAUAGGGUAACGGCAACGGGGCAAGAUGCCCCUUAACUUUAAUUGUUGUGUUAGUAAAUAGACAUUGAGCUUGGGGGGGGCAUCUUACCCCAAACAGUAUACAGUUGUGCUCAAAAGUUUGCAUACCCUUGGAGAAUUGUUAAUACAUGUACCAUUUGUAAAUAAAACAUGAGUGAGCAGGCAAAACAAAUCUUAUUUCUUAUGGGAUUCACAUUCAACUGCAGGUCAUAACAGAAUGGCACAUUCUUAAAACAGAACAUGGCAAAAAGAAAAAUAAUUAACUGACCCC